GACGAACGCUGGCGGCGUGCCUAACACAUGCAAGUCGAACGGAACUGUUUGAAAGAUUUCUUCGGAAUGAAUUUGAUUUAGUUUAGUGGCGGACGGGUGAGUAACGCGUGAGUAACCUGCCUUCAAGAGGGGGAUAACAUUCUGAAAAGGAUGCUAAUACCGCAUGAUAUAUCGGAAUCACAUGAUUUUGAUAUCAAAGAUUUAUCGCUUGAAGAUGGACUCGCGUCCGAUUAGUUAGUUGGUGAGGUAACGGCUCACCAAGACCGCGAUCGGUAGCCGGACUGAGAGGUUGAACGGCCACAUUGGGACUGAGACACGGCCCAGACUCCUACGGGAGCAGCAGUGGGGGAUA
rnacentral:rRNA from 1 species